rnacentral:rRNA from 1 species
AUACGUAGGGUGCAAGCGUUAAUCGGAAUUACUGGGCGUAAAGCGUGCGCAGGCGGUUUUGUAAGACAGAGGUGAAAUCCCCGGGCUCAACCUGGGAACUGCCUUUGUGACUGCAAGGCUAGAGUACGGCAGAGGGGGAUGGAAUUCCGCGUGUAGCAGUGAAAUGCGUAGAUAUGCGGAGGAACACCGAUGGCGAAGGCAAGCCCCUGGGCCUGUACUGACGCUCACGCACGAAAGCGUGGGGAGCAAACAGGAUUAGAUACCCUGGUAGUCCACGCCCUAAACGAUGUCAACUGGUUGUUGGGGAUUUAUUUUCUCAGUAACGAAGCUAACGCGUGAAGUUGACCGCCUGGGGAGUACGGCCGCAAGGUUAAAACUCAAAUGAAUUGGCGGGG